UAGCAGAGUAAAAAGGUGGUUGGCAGGGUGGGAUGUGUCCUGCUUGAUAUUUGUGGCCCGGCGCAAGCAUCGGGCCCUAUAUAUGUCAUCCAAGGAGGGCAGUUAGGUGUUUGUAAUGCUCUGCAUAAAGUGACAUGGAGAA